GUUAGGGUGGCAGAGACAGGUUAUUGCACAAGGCCUAAGCCCUUGCCAUCAAAAGUUCAAAUCCUUUCCCUAACC
rnacentral:tRNA from 2 species